rnacentral:rRNA from 1 species
GACAGAGGAUGCAAACGUUGCUCGGAUUUACUGGGCGUAAAGCGCGCGCAGGCGGUCCCGUAAGUCGGACGUGAAAGCCCAGGGCUCAACCUUGGAAGUGCGUCUGAUACUGCGAGACUGGAGUACUGGAGAGGAGAGCGGAAUUCCCGGUGUAGAGGUGAAAUUCGUAGAUAUCGGGAGGAACACCAGUGGCGAAGGCGGCUCUCUGGACAGAUACUGACGCUGAGGCGCGAAAGCGUGGGAAGCAAACAGG